GCAAAUAAUGGGAAUGAACUUUGUUUUAGGGAUUUAUGUCUGUAAGACCUUAAGUUCUUCAUGAUAAGGUUCUUCAUGGUGUAAAUAUAUUUCCUUUACCUUAUUAUUUAUAUGCAUGUAUGAGCUAACAAGUGAUCAGAUUUGAUCCAACUGUAGACCGAGUUAUGCAUCUGGUUCUCUCAUUUUGGAAGUAUUUUAGAUUCAACUAAAUCCAGUGUGAAAGAAGGAAAGUACUGGUUUUAAACUUUAAACCGAGUCCUAAAUACAAUGUCAUUGGAUAGGUUAAUUGAAAUGGCUCAUUAUUCUCUGCCUUAAUUCUUCUUACUUCCUACGAAAAGGACACUUGCUCAGCGCAUCUUGGAAUAGUAGCCAUAUCUGGUACCAACCUGAUAUCAGUAUCAUCCAAAGAAUCUGAGAGCUAACAUGCACAUUCUGAAUUCUGAAUUUUUUAGUUUGUUGGAAUAUUAUCAUCAGAAUCAGUAGUCACAAAUUCAGUUUACAUCUUUAUUUUUAAGUUCUUAAUUAGGACUCAUGGUCGUUUGGUCCUGUCUUGCUUCAUGUUUGUUCUUAUUGUUGUGAGGUAGACCCACUCUUACCCAUCCCUAACAUUUAGUGCCAGAUCUAUUUGAGGUAGCAGGAAAACGUAUACCAUGCAACCACUAAGCAUCCCAGGAUAUUUUGAGAUUAAUGCAUUAGCAUUAGCGGAAAAACUGUGUGCUGAUUGACAUUUUAGACCUGUAAUGAUUUUACUGUACAUAGAAUCUGUGAGCACCUAACCUAUAGAUUUAGGCUUUUAAUAGCUUCGACAGCUUGUUUUAUGCUAUUUGUAUGGCCUGGUUUCAUAAUGCUUGUGAAAACUCGAGUUCUGGAUGGGGUUGGUGUCCUUCACUGAAGAUGAAUGAAGUACCUACAGGAUCCAUAUUUUUAUUGGAGUACAUGAGGGAGGGAACAAGUUUCCGAGCAUGCUGUAUCAAGGCCUCAAGAGGAGGAAGUGCUUUCACUCUCUAUGUGAAUAAUUAGGUAUCCAAAAAUGUGUAAUAUAUUUACUCUGAUGGCUGCUCUAUUGAUAUGUAUGAAAACAAACCAGUUUUAUGUCUGCUUGUACAAGCCGUCAUUAAUUUGUUUGUGACAUGUGGUAACUGUGAUCUAAUAUUUUGUAUGGUGUACAUCUGAAAUUUAACCGUGGCGUUAGCACGGGCACCUUACUAGUCAAAUGAAGUGGGCUUGUUUUGUUGUUGUA